ACAUCCCAAGCCUGGCUCGGUAAGAGCAAACGCUGAAGCGCAAGCAACG
rnacentral:sRNA from 15 species